GACGUAGGGCGCAAGCGUUGUCCGGAUUUAUUGGGCGUAAAGAGCUCGUAGGCGGCUUGUCGCGUCGACUGUGAAAACCCGCAGCUUAACUGCGGGACUGCAGUCGAUACGGGCAGGCUAGAGUUCGGUAGGGGAGACUGGAAUUCCUGGUGUAGCGGUGAAAUGCGCAGAUAUCAGGAAGAACACCGAUGGCGAAGGCAGUUCUCUGGGACGUUACUGACGCUGAGACGCGAAAGCGUGGGGAGCAAACAGG
rnacentral:rRNA from 1 species